rnacentral:rRNA from 1 species
GACGAACGCUGGCGGCGUGCCUAACACAUGCAAGUCGAACGGACAGGCCCUGCUCUUGUGGGGUGCUCGAGUGGCGAACGGGUGAGUAACACGUGAGUAACCUGCCCUUGACUUUGGGAUAACUUCAGGAAACUGGGGCUAAUACCGCAUAGGAGCUCCUGCUGCAUGGUGGGGGUUGGAAAGUUUCGGCGGUUGGGGAUGGUCUCGCGGCUUCUCAGCUUGUUGGUGGGGUAGUGGCUUACCAAGGCUGUGACGGGUAGCCGGCCUGAGAGGGUGACCGGCGACCAGGGUACUAAGGGAGGGCGCAGACUCCUACGGGAGGCAGCGGUGGAGAGUAUUGCGGAGUAGGCGGAAGCCUGAGACAGAGGCGCCGCGUGCGGGAUGACGGGCUUCGGGGUAUAAACCGCUUUCGACUGAAACGAAGCGUGAGUGACGGUAAUGGGUAAAAAAGCAACGGCUAACUACGUG